rnacentral:rRNA from 1 species
UGCGUAGGCGGCCCGACAAGUCAGAGGUGAAAGGCUACGGCUUAACCGUAGUAAGCCUUUGAAACUGACAGGCUUGAGUGCAGGAGAGGAAAGUGGAAUUCCUAGUGUAGCGGUGAAAUGCGUAGAUAUUAGGAGGAACACCAGUGGCGAAGGCGACUUUCUGGACAUUAACUGACGCUGAGGCGCAAAAGCGUGGGGAGCAAAAAGGAUUAGAUACCCUGGUAGUCC